rnacentral:misc_RNA from 1 species
GGAUGAAGAACGCAGCGAAAUGCGAUACGUAAUGUGAAUUGCAAAUUCAGUGAAUCAUCGAGUCUUUGAACGCACAUUGCGCCCCCUGGUAUUCCGGGGGGCAUGCCUGUCCGAGCGUCAUUGCUGCCCUCAAGCACGGCUUGUGUGUUGGGCCCCGUCCUCCGAUCCCGGGGGACGGGCCCGAAAGGCAGCGGCGGCACCGCGUCCGGUCCUCGAGCGUAUGGGGCUUUGUCACCCGCUCUGUAGGCCCGGCCGGCGCUUGCCGAUCAACCCAAAUUUUUUAUCCAGGUUGACCUCGGAUCAGGUAGGGAUACCCGCUGAACUUAAGCAUAUCAAUAAGCGGAGGA